rnacentral:lncRNA from 1 species
UGCGUUGCUUUAACUUAGAUCUGUGAUAUCUCUAGAUUAAUAGUUGGCAUGCCAUACGAAGGAAAGUAGUUGUGACCAGUUGGAGGUGCAAAAGGCAUUCUGACUCCUUGAUACUGAUGAUGAGAAGAGGCUUCUCAAAAUCCUUCUUCUGCCAAUGUGACCAUCUCUAACAAUAUACUCCAAUGAAAAUUUUUCAGCAGAUGAAUCCUUCACAGGUUUGCCUAGAGCAUUCCAUACUAGUUGUUUGGCUUCUUUUGAAAGAACGGAUAAAAAGGUUUAUUGGGUUAGGUUUUUAGACGGGUCGGAGUAUGAAUUUAAAAUGGGGAUGUUUUUUUUU